rnacentral:rRNA from 1 species
AUUGAACGCUGGCGGCAUGCUUUACACAUGCAAGUCGAACGGCAGCGCGGGCUUCGGCCUGGCGGCGAGUGGCGAACGGGUGAGUAAUGCAUCGGAACGUGCCCAGUAGUGGGGGAUAGCCCGGCGAAAGCCGGAUUAGUACCGCAUACGACCUGAGGGUGAAAGCGGGGGACCGAAAGGCCUCGCGCUAUUGGAGCGGCCGAUGUCGGAUUAGCUAGUUGGUGGGGUAAAGGCUUACCAAGGCGACGAUCCGUAGCUGGUCUGAGAGGACGACCAGCCACACUGGGACUGAGACACGGCCCAGACUCCUACGGGAGGCAGCAGUGGGGAAUUUUGGACAAAGGGGGCAACCCUGAUCCAGCCAUGCCGCGUGCGGGAAGAAGGCCUUCGGGUUGUAAACCGCUUUUGUUCGGGAAGAAAUCCUCUGGGCUAAUACCCCGGGGGGAUGACGGUACCGGAAGAAUAAGCACCGGCUAACUACGUG